rnacentral:lncRNA from 1 species
ACAAAGUUGGUAUCAGAGCAUGAUUUGAGGAUUUCUAAGAAUUUUAAUAUGCUAGAUGUGUAAUAAAUUUUAAGGUUUAGUGAUUUCUAUUUAGAGACUGAUCAAAAGUUUUUUUUUGUUAUUUUUAGGAAGCAAGGAUGACAAGGUCAUCUGGUUCUCCUAUUGCAUCUACUUCUGAUCAAUUGAGUGGAAUUAUGAAA